CGACCCUUAAGCCUCUGUUGCUUAGUGUUGGGAGCCUACGAUUAUAGCGUAGCUCCUUAAAGUUAGUUGGCGGAGUUAGGGUACACUCUCAGCGUAGUAAACAUUUUUCUCGCUGUUGUAGUUGCCUUAGCUGUUGCCAUUAAACCUGUCUAUUAUUUAGUAAGG
rnacentral:misc_RNA from 1 species